CAGGUCUGAAGAUCCAGGGCGAGUUGGGUGUUUGCGUUUUGUUUUGUUUGAGAUAGUCUCCCUGUGUAGCCCAGGAUAGCCUUGAACUCCUUGGUCCUCCUGCCUCGGCCUCAGGGUGCUGGGAUCAUCGCAAGUUGCUCACCUACUUCCCAGGGACUUUCUUCCUUCACCUCGGCCCCUCCAACACUGCUCCCAGGUCACUGACUUGCUGAAGCAACUAGACGCAUUGUCUUGUUGGUGGAAUAACCUACUUUCCUGGCCCCUCUGAUUGCUUCCUGGUGGUGUAUUUAACUGGUUCCUCCGUCGCCGGCAUUUCCUGUAGGCGAGAAGCUCAGUCCGUGGCUGGGUGUGAGUUUUGAAGUCAUUCCUCCAAGUGGUCUACCCCUGCUUCCCAAGUUUACUACAGCACAAAUUACUUCUCCCUAGGAUUCUUUCCUUCCAUCACACAGUGCUUACAAUACCGGACAGCAAUAGCUUCUCUGACCGUGAGGCUGUGGGAGGAAGUGAAUCACAGCUGUCUCUUCCUAGGUGUGUGGCAGCAGUUGGCUCAGCACCUGUCCCGUAGCAGCCAGCAAGUAAACAUUUGUGGGAUUGUUUCUGUGGUUGUUGAGCUCUCUGUUUCUGAGUGCCUGUUUUGGUAACGUGCCCAGGACUGAAUUCCUUCUGCCUCUCACCACUCCUCUCCCACCACCCAGAUCCUGCAUUUGAACCAGUUCAGUAGCUGGAGAUUCCUGAUGACACAGUUCUUGCAGCUGAUCCACCUCCUGGAAUUCCAAAUAUUAUCAAGGUUCCCAAGCCUGGGCCUCCACCCAUCUGUCAGGAUCCCUGACACAGCCUGACUUUCCAGUGCCUGCCGCCUGCCAUCUGGAGGUCGUGUUUUUCCCUGCUGGACUGGAUUUCCAUCCAUGUCUCAUGACUUUACUGGUUCAGAGCCCAGGCCCAGACCAUGAGACAAACACUAAGAUAUGGUGUUAAGUGAAAAGAAGUCAGGGGCAGGAAAUAGGGGCAGAAAAUAGAGAAGAAUAAACCAUCUUUAGCAGAACACA